GAUGUGAUGCCACAUGGUGUUGAUGGGAAGAAUAUGGGUGAUUAGUCGCUGACUGGACGGACAGACCGCUUUGUCAACAACAAAUCAACCAAAAGCUUCACAUGGCUUUGAAUCGAAGCGGACCAUGGCGUAGGGAGAGAAAACAAAGAACUUAAACCCGCGCGGCCUCAUGUAUCAUGCAUGAUUGUUACAAAAAUGAUCUAAAAACUACUAAAAACAAUGACAUAUGGUGUCAAGAGCAACCACCAUCAUGUAAAAAGACGACAGCUACUUCUAAGAGGAGUUGCAAACGUAUGUUUUGGCAAGGAGCUAGGAUUGAUGGAAAAAAAAAUCAAUCAAUCAAUCAAACAAGCUGAAGAUUCAGGUUUGCAUACCAGAUUGCUUGCAAUUUCAAAAUCAAGUCUGAACAGCUCUGCAAGAUGGUAAUCCUAUAUACCUAUACAAGUGAUCCCCACUAACUGCAGUUAUUACCAAUUCUCUGCACUGUGGUUGAUCCACGUCAUCCAAAAAGAUAGCAGCCGUUGGAUGAAAUCUCAAUGGUAUGAUAUCAAUGCAUAUGUUAUCCUGGUGAGAACACCCAAGUAUUACACACGAAAAGCCAAGCUGUUCGCUCCCCUUCCCCACGUAGAUGCGGCGCCGCAUGGUUCCCCUUCCCCUGCGCUGCUUCCCCUCCACCCGCUCAACUCCCUCCCUCCCUCCCUCACUCCCUCCCCGUGCGUCGGUUCCCUUACCUGGCCAGCAGUACACCAGGGAGCUCCUCACUCCCAUAGGCUGUGGCUCCCUGGUGAGUAUUUUACUGCUAAUCCGUUUUUUAAUUCCUGUAAUUGACGGUUAAGGUGAGAGGCCAAACUUCUUGGAUUUCUUUUAAGGUGUGCAUCUGCCCUCAACCCUUCCCUCUCCUCUUUUGUACCACCGAUCAUGUCCUUCUUUGCAGGUUUGCAGAUAUAUAUAUCAUGAUGUUCAAUUUUAUGGAAUGGCGUUGGUUGGAAAUAUUUUCAGAUGUCCCUGUCAUAUGUUAAACGGAAUGGCUGAAUGAUGAUCAUAUUAUAAGGAUGGAUCUUUCUAUAUCCUUCAACCCUGUUGUUGUCAUCAAAUGGUGGCUUUUUCAUGUUAAGAGCGAAUUCAAGGUGGACUGGUGUUUUUUCAUAAUUCGUAAGAGCUGGUAAUUAUCACCUCAAAUUUGUUCAUUUUUAUGUUGGUUUCUUAAUCGUAUUGAAAUAGUUAAAUUUUACUUAUACCUUCACACUAUCAUCUGAGUCACUUUGUCUCAUGUGACCAUGACCUUUGAUUAUAGAAGGUCACCAACGGUCAAUGGUGGCCUGAUUGAGUUUGCAGUUUUAUGUAUAUGUAUAUAUCACCAACAAAAAUGUCGUUACAAUGAAACAGAUGGAUGGUUGGUUCAGUAUAUUUCUUUUUUUUUAACAAAGAAUUAAUAGUUCAGUUUUACCCGAGUGUCAGAUUUAUUACUCAAUACAAUUCUUAUAAAAAAAAAUCCUUUAGUUAAUUGUCUUGCGCACUGCACAUACUACCAACAUUUGGCAAUUUAUAUUGGUAUUUCCUUUGUAUUCACACCACAAUAAUUCGUGUAGUUGCUACUGUCUAAUUUGUUAUACUCCGAUGCAGAGUUCUUUUAUUACUUUCAGUUCAGUCUAGGACCAAUAAUAAGUUCAGAACUUCAUAUUACUGACUUGGUCUUUUCUACAAUGAAAUGCACACUAUGGGAUAUUUUGAUUAUCAGAUUAUGGACAUAAUUUUUUAUCUAAUGUUAUAUUUUAUUUUCCUAUUACUAUUUACUAGAAUAUGCAAGGGAAAGAGGAAUCAAUAAUUAAAAUAUUGAUAUGGCAACUUGCUUCUUGCUGGUGAAUAAACACUUGAACAAUUCUAGCAGCUAACUUAGGUGCGGUCAAUCACAGAAUCUUUGUUAUUGAUCCUAUAGUUUCUUGCAAAUAUUCCUAAUUGAUUGUGUUGUAAGCCUAAAGAUUGUAUUUACUUUUUAUUUAAUUCAGUAUGCCUUUCAUGCUAUACUGCGCAAAUUGUGUUGUAAGCCUAAAAUUCUAUUCACUUUUUUUUUAAUUCAGUAUGCCUUUCAUGCUAUACUGUGCACCACUAAAAAGCACGUCAUAGUUUAGAUUUUAAUAGUACCGUGACGAGCAGAACUGUUGCACGUUGCAUUCGUUUUGCAUAGCAACAAAACAAGCAUGUGGUUUCUGUUAGUCUAUUGAUUUAUUUUUUUUGUCUUUUGUCUCUGCUAAUGUUUUAUUUGUUGCUCUCAUGUCUCAAAAUAGAUGUCCUCUUAUAGUAGGUUCGAUCAAGUGAUGCUCACGCAACUAAUAUUUUUAUUUCCUAAUUCUCUAUAUCUGUACAAUUUCACUCUUUUUCGAUAUGAUUUAAAUUAUGUUCUCCAGUUAAA